rnacentral:rRNA from 1 species
GUGCAACGCCGCGUGGAGGAUGAAGGCCCUAGGGUCGUAAACUCCUGUCAUCGGGGAGUAAGCCUUGGUCGUUAAUAGCUUCCAAGGUUGAUAGUACCCGAAGAGGAAGGGACGGCUAACUUCGUGCCAGCAGCCGCGGUAAUACGAAGGUCCCAAGCGUUGUUUGGAAUCACUGGGCGUAAAGAGUAUGUAGGCGGUUCGGAAAGUCAGAUGUGAAAGCCCGGGGCUCAACCUCGGAACUGCAUCCGAUACUCCCGGACUAGAGUAAUGGAGGGGUGACUGGAAUUCUCGGUGUAGCAGUGAAAUGCGUAGAUAUCGAGAGGAACACUCGUGGCGAAGGCGAGUCACUGGACAUUUACUGACGCUGAGAUACGAAGGCCAGGGUAGCGAAAGGGAUUAGAUACCCCUGUAGUCCUGGCAGUAAACGGUGCGCGCUUGGUGUGGGAGGAUUCGACCCCUUCCGUGCCGGAGCUAACGCGUUAAGCGCGCCGCCUGGGGAGUACGGCCGCAAGGCUAAAACUCAAAGAAAUUGACGGGGACCCGCACAAGCGGUGGAGUAUGUGGCUUAAUUCGAUGCAACGCGAAGAACCUUACCUGGGCUUGACAUGCUUGUCGUACCCUCCCGAAAAGGAGGGGUCACUUCGGGUGGACAAUGCACAGGUGCUGCAUGGCUGUCGUCAGCUCGUGUCGUGAGAUGUUUGGUUAAGUCCAGCAACGAGCGCAACCCCUGUGAGUAGUUGCCAGCACGUAAUGGUGGGGACUCUAUUCAGACUGCCCAGAUCAACUGGGAGGAAGGUGGGGACGACGUCAAGUCAGUAUGGCCCUUACGCCCAGGGCUGCACACGUACUACAAUGCCCAGCAUAAUGAGAACCGAGACCGCGAGGUGGAGGAAAUCUACAAAACUGGGCCCAGUUCGGAUUGGAGGCUGCAACUCGCCUCCAUGAAGUCGGAAUCG